ACGAACGCUGGCGGCGUGCUUAACACAUGCAAGUCGAACGGAAAGGCCUCUUUUGGGGGGUACUCGAGUGGCGAACGGGUGAGUAACACGUGAGUAACCUGCCCUUGACUUUGGGAUAACUUCAGGAAACUGGGGCUAAUACCGGAUAGGAGCUCCUGCUGCAUGGUGGGGGUUGGAAAGUUUCGGCGGUUGGGGAUGGACUCGCGGCUUAUCAGCUUGUUGGUGGGGUAGUGGCUUACCAAGGCUUUGACGGGUAGCCGGCCUGAGAGGGUGACCGGCCACAUUGGGACUGAGAUACGGCCCAGACUCCUACGGGAGGCAGCAGUGGGGAAGAUUGCACAAUGGGUGGAAGCCUGAUGCAGCAACGCCGUGUGCGGGAUGACGGCCUUCGGGUUGUAAACCGCUUUCGCUCAUGACGAAGCUUUGUGUGACGGUAGUGGGUAAAGAAGCACCGGCUAACUACGUG
rnacentral:rRNA from 1 species